AGAGAUCAAUGAUGAUUGCAUAAAUCAUGUGCUGAAAAUCAUCGAGCCGCAACUUCUCGAACAUAAAAGUUUCCUGAAAGACCGAGAACUCUAUCAAGCAUUGCACGAGUUGGAAAUUGGCGAAGAAGAAAUCAGAAAGUAUCUGUCGGAUAAAUAUCGCACGAUACUGAAGAAAGGAAAUGAGCUGAAUGAGCAUUUCAACAGAUACCCAAAUUACUUAAAUAGGCUGUACGAUUCCAUAAUCAAAUUGUUUUCGAGCCACAACAAACUAAAGGGAACGCAACCGGGAAGGCAAAAAAUCGACCAACUGCAGGCGAAUCUCGAGAAUUAUUCAUUCGCAAAUAUCGUGACUCUAUUUCGACCGGAAUUGAUAAAGGAAAAUCUAAACUAAGUCUUCUAACUUCUAAGGCCUUUUACCGACGGAUUUAUCUGUUGGUUUUCCUCCUGAAAGCUUGCAGCAAAGUGCAAUUGCAAUUGGGGGCCGAAAGCAGCAGGAAUAAUCCCUAAGCCGCUCAAGUGAUUGUAUAUUCCUUACAAAAAUUGCACUGAAAUACUGA